AUCAUUUACUGAGUUUACGCUCUACAACCCUUUGUGAACAUACCUAUAACUGUUGCUUCGGCGGGUAGGGUCUCCGUGACCCUCCCGGCCUCCCGCCCCCGGGCGGGUCGGCGCCCGCCGGAGGAUAACCAAACUCUGAUUUAACGACGUUUCUUCUGAGUGGUACAAGCAAAUAAUCAAAACUUUUAACAACGGAUCUCUUGGUUCUGGCAUCGAUGAAGAACGCAGCGAAAUGCGAUAAGUAAUGUGAAUUGCAGAAUUCAGUGAAUCAUCGAAUCUUUGAACGCACAUUGCGCCCGCCAGCAUUCUGGCGGGCAUGCCUGUUCGAGCGUCAUUUCAACCCUCAAGCUCUGCUUGGUGUUGGGGCCCUACAGCUGAUGUAGGCCCUCAAAGGUAGUGGCGGACCCUCCCGGAGCCUCCUUUGCGUAGUAACUUUACGUCUCGCACUGGGAUCCGGAGGGACUCUUGCCGUAAAACCCCCCAAUUUUCCAAAGGUUGACCUCGGAUCAGGUAGGAAUACCCGCUGAACUUAAGCAUAUCAAUAAGCGGAGGAAAAGAAACCAACAGGGAUUGCCUCAGUAACGGCGAGUGAAGCGGCAACAGCUCAAAUUUGAAAUCUGGCCCUAGGCCCGAGUUGUAAUUUGCAGAGGAUGCUUUUGGUGCGGUGCCUUCCAAGUUCCCUAGAACGGGACGCCAGAGAGGGUGAGAGCCCCGUACAGUUGGACACCAAGCCUUUGUAAAGCUCCUUCGACGAGUCGAGUAGUUUGGGAAUGCUGCUCAAAAUGGGAGGUAUAUUUCUUCUAAAGCUAAAUACCGGCCAGAGACCGAUAGCGCACAAGUAGAGUGAUCGAAAGAUGAAAAGCACUUUGAAAAGAGGGUUAAACAGCACGUGAAAUUGUUAAAAGGGAAGCGCUUGUGACCAGACUUGCGUCCGGUGAAUCACCCAGCUCUCGCGGCUGGGGCACUUCGCCGGCUCAGGCCAGCAUCAGCUCGCUGUCGGGGACAAAAGCUUCAGGAACGUAGCUCUCUUCGGGGAGUGUUAUAGCCUGUUGCAUAAUACCCUUCGGCGGGCUGA
rnacentral:rRNA from 1 species